UUUGUACCUAAUACAAGUUUCUGUGUAUUCAUUUGGGCCCAACUCGGGCAGGCGGCUGUCGUAAAGCUCACACAUGGCGGUGGGGCUCGGCGGCUUUUGGCAGAAAGAUUUAUCGUAACAAGGGCCUUGGACCAUGUGAUGGAAUAUCUCCACUCUCACUGUUUGCAGGCUUCAGAACUGGAGCAAGUUCCCAACCCACUCCACCUCUUUGCGUAUGUGCAGAAUGAACAUAUUUAUCUCCAGAGACUGGGAUAAUAUAAAUAAAGUCCUUGACCUUCAGAAGAUUCCCAUCUUCCACCAACAGGGCUGACCUUAUAAACAUUCUCAUCCGAAGCUUGCCUGAAGUUAGACAUACACUAUCACAGGACACCAGCAUGGACUACAAACACAACUCCAUGCUGUGGUGAAGACUAGAUUCUUGACUGUACCACAGAAAACAAUUUGGGGUCCUACCUGCCUGUGCAAAGCAGACUUGGGGCUUAUCAGGAAGAGAUUUUAGCAUAGAUCCAAGCAAGGCAGUUAAGAAAGAGAUGCUCAAAGAAACAAGAUAACACAACCCAAGCUUGUGAGUGUGGCUUCUCAAGAGAGGUUGCUCUUGGUGCCUUAGCUGGAAUAGGAAUUUCAAGUCUUGACAUUUUCAAAGAUUUUCUAAGAAACUCCUCUUUACUCUCCUUUGUUCCAGUUUUUGAUAAAUGAAGUUAUAGAAUAGCUCAGCCUUAGACAAAAUUACAAUAUGAUCCUGUUAAAUCAUGAGUCACAAAGGUAGGACAAGAAGAUGAAGAUGUGUUUUUUACUGUAAAUGGGGGUCCUCGAAAAAUUCCUAGAAAUCAUCAGGUUAACAGCUUGAGAAGGGAAAAAGCCAUACAUGCUUAGGCCUUAAGCAUAAUUCAUUGCUAUUUUAACAGUUUUACUUGAAAAUCCAUAUAAAAGGAGUAUUGUCUACAUGCAGCCAGCCUUCACAGCAAGUGUUAAUUGUGCUGGAAUUCCUGCCUCUGAGCUGGUACCCAAGAUUCUUCCUCUCAAAUGACCAUGAACUCUCUUCUGGUUCAGUAUUACAUUUUUAUCUAUCUUCUCUGUGUGCUGCUGGAGUACCUGCUGUAUCUGGUAUCAACACACUUGCACCCCUGGCGAUUGUACUCCCCACCCUGACCCUUACCUGCAGUCACUGAUUCUACCAGCACGGACUCUCCUUGUCCUUUGCAGCACUGGCUCCUUGAGAAAAGAUGGCUAUCUGGACAGUGGACUCCAUGUUGUCAUUGGAAUUAAGGCAUCACUUUAUGUUUCUGUUCUGCACAGUUCCACUCAUUUCCUCUGAUUGGCAAGACUGGGGGAUUAUUAUUGCCACUUCAAGAGGCACUGAAGUGUACGUGUCACAUUUGUGCAGGAAUGGUUCCUUGUGAGGCUUCUGCCUGUUCUUGAUGGGUUUCACCACCUUUGGAAAACAAGUAGAGACCAUAAAUGGUUUUUUGGGGGCGGGGGAGGUAGUUGGUUCUUUGGGACAGGGUUUCUCUAUGUAGCCCUGGAACUCACUAUGUAGACCAGGCUAGCCUCAAACUCAGAGAUCUGCCUGGGAUUAAAGGUGUGUACCACUACUGCCUGGUAAUGUUUUUUAAUAGAAUAUCCUUAUUAAUUCCUUGAGAAUUUUAUACAUGCACACAAUAUAUUUUUAUUGUAUGCAACUCCCAUUCUUCCCUCUAACCCCUCCCAGAUACCCUGAGUUUCCCAGGCCCUUUCCUCUCAACUUCACAUCCUUUUUUUUCUUUUUUUCUUGAGAUAGUCUGUCUCUGUGUAGACCAGUCUGGUUUCAAAUUCACAGAGAUCUGCCUCUGUCUCCUGAGUGCUGGGAAUAAAGGUGGGUGACACUAUGUGUUCAGUCGGACAGAGCCUGAAGCCUCUACGCACCGCUGCAUGGUCCCAGAAAUCCCCAUUCCAGUUUCUCUCUCCAAACCCUGCCCACUCAGAGAGUCCCCAAACAAAGGAAAGGCACCAAAAAGCCCAGUUCUGAAUUCUUAGCAACUAUGGCAACUUCCUCCCUGACACCCACCUAAAUGCUCAGCUUUUGACCAUACUUGAGGCACAAACCCAGCUUGUGGCAGACACAUCAUCACACCUCACCAAAACCUAUAAAAUCUCCCUGCUUUAGAGUGGGAAUGCAAAUUCUCUGGCCUCGAUCUCUGAGACCUAAGAAUCUGCCAGAAAUUUGCUUUGCUCAGUAUACCUGUUGUUAUAUUUUUCAGUUGGGCCUGAUCUGGCUUGUUGCAUUGCUGGAGAAACUUAUUUUCAGGAGUGGGGGGUAUGGGUAGGGGCAGAAACUUAUUAUGUGGGGCAGGAAACCUGUUACUAUACCCAGGCAUUUUUUUUUAAAUAACCCACCUAGUCCAAUUUCUGCUGCCCAUAUAGCCAUAGUUUUGGGACCAUCCACUGGAGCAUGGUAAACCUACCAAGAGCCACAACCUUAAGAAAAACAACCUCACCACCACCACCACCACCACCCCAGCCUCCCACAGCCUCUCAGCUAGGGAUGAGCUCAGGGGCCCUUCCCUGCCUCAUGCUGGGAUGUUGAUCAGCUUGGCUGUGCCCUGGCAACCACAGCUGCUGUAAGGGCAGGGGUCCAGGCACUUUGACUCCAUCCUCCCUGACCUUCUGCUCUUACAGUCUUUCUGCACCCCUUUUCUGUG